CAGAUUCAAUCUAUCGAAAGUUAUAACUUACUUGAACUUGAGUUAUGUCUGGUUUUGUACUUUUGUCUAGCAUCAGUAUGCAUUACAUGUUAAUAAAGUGAACUCUUAGUUUAGUUAUUUUUCGUGCCUUAUAUCAUCCAUGCAAAUAUAACAUUGUUUAUGCUUGCUUGCCUAUGUAGUUUCUAUGAAUUGAAGAAGAAAUAUGAUUGAUCUGUUCCAGAAAUUUGGUUGCAAAAUGUGGCAGUGAGUAAUGCAUUGGUUAGUUUGGUUUUCUUUCACCACUAUCGUAAGUUGUAUCAGCAUUGGCUCAUUCUUUACUUCAGAAAGGCUCUUAUGGUUUUCCGUAGAACUAGAUCUGUUCAGUGGCCAACAUUAUCUUGACCACUGAAGGUUGGUCGACUUAUGGUUGACUGUGCUUCAAUUCCUGUUUGGAACUAUUAGCUGCUCCGCCUCCGUAUCUUGGUUACCAUAUAAUUGGUGUAUCUCUAUAUACAAAGCGAGGAGGCCUUUAGAGUUCAUUAUUUGGUCAAAUUUUUGAACUUCCAAUAUUGCCCUUGAUAUUUCCCACGAUUUACAGAGUGACAGAAAGGGGACUGAUGGUUCUGGCUUUUGCUGCACAGAGAAAACUACUUCUGUCUUUUAAUUCAUAUCAGAGCGGUAGGGUUGAAUAAUUAUGGGUCUUGGGUAUUGGAGAUUGAUGAUUAGGGUUCUUGAUGGGAGAGAUUAUUAGGUGAAAGAGUGAUUGAGGAGCAAAAAAAUGCGAAAGCCUUUCAAGGAUUCGCUUAAGGCGCUUGAAGCUGUUAUUCAGUUUGCCAAUACUUCGAAAGACUCUUUUUAAUCUUUUCUUUUGCUCAAUCUUCAUCCAUAGUUCAUUUCUGUCUGUUGAUUACAUGGAUUGAUUCUGGGUCAUACCAAAGUUUGUUUAUUUGUCAUGAUUUUGAUGGAAAUUGGUAAUCUUGGGAAUUUGAUCUGUCUAGUUUUGCUUUCGUAAUUUUAGUUUGCUGUAUCAUUCAUGCAAGAUUAGCUUUAUAGUUUGUACAGGUUGAACAUCUGGGUAAUUGUGCAGAUGAUUCUGCUUAUGAAUUGUAUGCUGAAUUCCAUAAAGGAGUGAAAAGUUGAUUUGUGCUGAUAGAAGAGAGUAUUAGAAGGGUUUUGAGGAAUUGAGCUUACUUCAGCCACAGACAAGCAUGCUAUGAUUUUGUAUUAGAAUUCAUAUCAUAUUACAAUCUCAUUAAAAGUAUCCUAUUUCAAUUACAAUAUGAAACAGAAAUCCAUUCAGAAGCCAAAAUCAGAACAGUCAUCUAGAGUCCGAUGUGUGUUAAUUUUCUUUUAGUUCUUUCUAAUAGUUUUUUCCAAGUGCCGUGGAAGUUAACUACGACUAAAGUGAUCCAUGGAAUUUGAACCGUUAAUCACUUAUUGUUUGUUGGGGUUGUAGGCUGUCCAUUUGUUGUAUAUAUGUUGAUUCAUGACUUGGUAAUUACUCAAGAAGUGUGAUAACUGGGGUAAGGUGAACAUAUAUAUAAAAUCAGAAAGCUAGCUUACUAAUUAUGUUUUUGUUUUUCAUGUUUGUUAGAUUUGAAAGGUUUAGACUUCAACCAUGCUCCAUUUUACCAGGUACCAGCUCUGGAGCACAAUGUAAAGAUACAAAAAUGUACUAGCAGUGGCUCUUUAUGUGCGAAACUGGAAUGUGCUAACAGCAGCCAUUCAAUUGCUGAUUAAGGCUGAUUUAUGCUGGCAAGCAGCUUGGAGAUGACAAAACUGCUAAAGACUACAACAUUGAGGGUGGCUCUGUCCUUCAUUUAGUGCUUGCACCACUUGGUGGUAGUCUAUAAAUUGUAUCGUAGUAUUGUAUCUAUUGAUGUUCAGGCAAACUCUUUUGUGAAGGCUUUAUUGAGUCUUCAUACUCCAAAACAUUUGAGUUGCAUGACAAGUGGGUUACUUUGGACAUAAGAAUUGGCGUUACAUAUUGCACUCUACCUUUCUGCUCUGUUAUGUUCACUGUAAUGCUCUGGUGCUUUUACUUUAUACAAGCUUAGCUUCACUUGGGCAACAAAUUUUAUCAAUCUUGAUUACAAUUGUUUUCUGCU